GACGAACGCUGGCGGCGUGCCUAAUACAUGCAAGUUGAGCGCUUAAUGGUGGUACUUGUACCAACUGGCUGAGCAGCGAACGGGUGAGUAACGCGUGGGGAAUCUGCCUUUGAGCGGGGGACAACAUGGGGAAACGAAUGCUAAUACCGCAUAAAAACUUUAAACACAAGUUUUAAGUUUGAAAGAUGCAAUUGCAUCACUCAAAGAUGAUCCCGCGUUGUAUUAGCUAGUUGGUGGGGUAAGGGCCCACCAAGGCGUGGUAACGUAGCCGACCUGAGAGGUGGAACGCCCAAACGGGAAUGGAGCACGGCCCAAGAUCCUGACGGGAGGAGCAGGAGGGGAACAUCGGGCAAGGGCGGAAGUCUGGACGGGCAAAGGCGCGGGGGGGGAGAAGGGUUUCGGAUCGUAAAACUCCGUUGGUAGAGAAGAACGUUGGUGAGAGUGGAAAGCUCAUCAAGUGACGGUAACUACACAGAAAGGCACGGCUAACUACGUG
rnacentral:rRNA from 1 species